UUAAGUUUAGAUUCUCUUUACCGUUAAAAAUAAUAAAUAAAUAAAAUUGUUAGAGCAUUCGCAGUAUGGCCUCGCUAAAGGCAAAAAACAGAGAAAAUUUUGGCAAAGCAGUCCAAAAAUCUCCACAUCAGUCUCGCCAGAAUAGCAUCAAAAUCUAGCGUUUGAAGAUCGGUGGACUAGGUUCGAGACGACUUGUUCAUUGACGGUGGUGGAUGGCUUUCCAUGGUGGCCGCUGAUUGGUGGGUUUGGUGGUGCUGCUGAAGUGUGGCUGUAAUUGAUCGACGAAGCCUUAGAUGGGCAGCCUGCAAUUUUCGAUGGGGUGCAUGGUGGCUAUUAGCUGCACUUGGGAGCAACAAUGGCCUGGGCAGAUUUGAGUUUGCUUUUUUUUUUUUUAUAAUUAUUUUUUAUUAUUUUUUUAUGAUCGAGAAAUCUGGGUUUGUUCUGGAAUAUAAUUAUGCAUGAUUAAUUUUGUUC